GCCGGGAUAGCCUAGUGGUUAUGACGUCUGCCUUACACGCAGAAGGUCGCGAGUUCGACCCUCGCUUCUGGUA
rfam:Perkinsus marinus ATCC 50983 gcontig_1104296690210, whole genome shotgun sequence.